GACGAACGCUGGCGGCGCGCCUAAAACAUGCAAGUCGAACGAGAAGCCCGGGCUUGCCCGGGUGGAAAGUGGCGAACGGGUGAGUAACACGUGAGGAACCUGCCCUGAAGACCGGGACAACAUCGGGAAACCGUUGCUAAUACCGGAUACCUUCGAUUGAUCGCAUGUUCGAUCGAAGAAAUGGAUUCCGCUUCAGGAUGGCCUCGCGGCCUAUCAGUUUGUUGGUGAGGUAACGGCUCACCAAGACGACGACGGGUAGCUGGUCUGAGAGGAUGUCCAGCCACACUGGGACUGAGACACGGCCCAGACUCCUACGGGAGGCAGCAGUUAGGAAUCUUGCGCAAUGGACGAAAGUCUGACGCAGCGACGCCGCGUGCGGGAUGAA
rnacentral:rRNA from 1 species